UGCCCCCUCCCGCCGCAUCCCCAUCCCCUUCUCUUCUUUGUGGAUGCGCCCGCCCAGGCCGCCGGUGACCCUCACCAUCAGAGCCCUCCCCCACGUCGUCGUCGGAGGGAGUUGUCGCUUUGGCUAGGAUAGGGUCUUUGCCGAGGGUGGAGGUGCCCCAGUUCCCCAUCUCCCCGCCUCAGUGAUGGAGAGGUGCGAGAUGGAUGUGGGGAGGAGCGGGCAUGGUGCAGUGGCUGAAGCAGGCGUUGGCGUGGUGGCGGCGUCGGGAGCGGUUGGAGGCGACCACGGGCAUCCAGUCGUAACGGCAGGGGGCGAUGUGGCUGCUCGAGGUCCGGUUCAUCUUGGAUGUCACGGAGGUAACCCAUAUCCGAGCAGUACUUCACUCCAAUCGCAUGACACGCUGCUCCCAGUGAGGCUAAAUCCCCAUAUUAUCCAUCCAAAUCUGUCGUGUUCUCUGAAUGAUGUGCUGUGAGCUUCAUGGUUGGGUGAAGACUCCUGCUUAAAGUUUUCGAUCUACACAGUUUCCGGGAUGGAUGAGUGGUGUGACUAAUUUGUUUCUGACAAUUCCAAGGUUUCCGUGUGGUUUCAGUAAAAUUUGUUGAUUGGGAUAAGUUUGAUUGAUCUGAUGAUUUUGUCGUUUCUUUCUGUCAAGAAAAGGUUGAUCUCAUGUUGUUUAUUUUUUAGUAUAUGGGAUUUAUUUUGCAGGACAGAAUUUUGUGGGCAGAGUGGUAAGAACUGACAAUUAAUUGACUUAAUUAAUUCCAUAUUUUGUGUUUGCAUUAUAAAUCAGUUCAGUUUUUAUGCAAAAUAUCUUUGCACCUGUGUUCAUCUGCUCCUCUGACCACUCCAUGCCAUGCGUAUGUGCAGUCCUUGCCUCAUUGGACAUGUUCACUCUCAUGGCGAGCCUCAGUGGCCUGUGGCCGCCAGCGUGCCCUCUCGGUGCCUGCCGGUGCAAGAAGGCAUCGACGGGGCAGAUGGUGGCCCUGUACACUGGUUUGUGCCUGCUCUGCCUGAAUUUCGAAAAUAAGUUUUCAUGAGUUCUUCAAGUUAAGUAGAUUUCGUGUAUGGAUUUCUUUUCCUAGCAUUAACUUUUACUUGUGUUUAUUCGGUUUGUACGCAAGAAUUCUAGAGCCAUGGAUGCAAGAAAAUAGAUUUGGGUCUGGUAUUCUAAUAUGAGUCGUUUUGAGAAGUGAAAAAUGAAGACUCUUAAUUGCAAACCAGUAACGGAAGAAGAAAUAAAAUUUUAUUGAUCCCAAAUGACAAUGGAUCUGCUCUCUGUUUCUAUAAGUUCAUUUCAUUCUGCAAGCUUCUCCAAUAAUUACCUAUAAUUUUUCAGAUAUAGCAUUGCGAAUCGUCUGAACUUUCUUGUGAACAUUGCAGGCAGCGCCAAUAUUCAUGCACUUGAAAAACCUCGGACAGUGAAGAACAUGGGAGUGCAAGGGCACAUUAUGUAUUCUUGAUAUAAUGGUAGGAAGUAUGUAAAUAAUGUUAUUUGUAGUGAGACUGACAAAGCUUAUGCAUGAGAUAGAGCUUCAUUGUACAUUACUUUGCAGGUUUCAAGCCUUUUGAUGGAAGCUCAUGUAUCUUCCUAGCAAGGCUGAUGGACUCUGGUGCUUGGUGAAUGUUGCCCAGCCUUGACCUCUCUUAAGUUUUGCAUAAAUAGUUAAAUACAUCAUCUGAGCUAAUCAAUUUAUAUGAAAACAAAUCAGUAGUGAUUUCGUCAAAUAUAUGGGUUAUUUUGAUGACAGUUCGCUUCUCUCCCUAGAUGAUCAAAUCAACUAUUUUAAUCUCAUUGAACAACUAGAUGAUUGAAGUGCUAAUCAAAUUAAUAUGCCCCAACCAGUUUAUUGGGUACUAAUAGAAUUAAUAUGCUCUCACAGGUUUAUUAGGUGAUAACUAAAACGAACAUUCUUUGGCUGACAUUUGAAGUAAGAUUAAAAACAACCUACAGAACAAACUGGAGAUGGUACACAUCAGAUGGCUCCCUCCCAUGGAGAAUGAACUGAAGAUUAAUAUUGAUGGCGCUUUCCACCCUGAACCAAACACUGGUGGUUGGGGUGCAGUCAUCAGGAAUCAUAAAGGAGAGGUAAAAGUAUGUGGGUGCCUAGCUAGGAAUGGAUAAAGGAGUGACAGCCAUUGGCCUUGAAACAGAUUCAGUGCUGCUGAAGCAAGGGGUAAACAAUGAUGAAUGAGGCCUCUCUGCUGUCUACCUAGGCUUAGAGGAGCUCAAGGAAUAUCUGAAGCAAAACUUUGAAGUGUGUCAUUUUACUUCUGCUAGGAGGAACUGUAAUAAAGUAGGCCGUUGUUUUGCUAGCUAUGGUAGUACCUUAGCAUGUAUGAUCAUCUUCAAACAGAUCAUGUAAUUCCACUUGUAUCGGACCUGGUGGCGACUCUUCUCUAAUUUCUGCAUACAUCUCCCCUAGAUAUGGACCACCCUGCUUUUGCAUUAUCUGUUUUCAAACAACAAGAAACUUAGUUCUGUAAAUUCAUAAAACUAAUAUGCCAGUUAGAAUGCGCGAGUAUAUGCACCCUUUGCUUUUAAAUAAAAAGUUGUGUAAAAUAAACUGAUGUGUAAAGCUUGAUCAUUCUAAUUUGUGUUAAUUAAGUACAUAUGUACAUUAUUGAGGGGAUGAUCUAAGGUAAUGAAGCAUAAGGGGAUUAAAUAAAGUUUUAUUU
rnacentral:lncRNA from 1 species